rnacentral:lncRNA from 1 species
GCCCACAGGGAAGGCCUGUCGUGUCAUGAUGCUGCCUCUCAGCACCAUCGAGGGCAAGGACAUCCCCACCGAGGAGGUGAAGACCAAGCCGCCUGAGAAAGGAGCCCUGCUCUCUGCGACCCCCGAGGAGCCGCCAAAGAAGCCCCCCAGAAUGAAGGGGAGGAUGUCAUUCCGAGUGCUGCCCAUCUGCCCGAUGCCAAGUGUCUGCUUCACCUAUUCCUUGGAGCAAGACGACUCUGACUUGGAUGCCCAAGUUCCUCCUGAACUUUCCAAGCCUGACUCGAAUUGCACCUUCAUUCCUCUGCCUGUUCUGGAGUUUCGUGAAGUCAAGGUGUGGGAGUGCCCCCUGUGCUGUCUCAGCUUUGUCUCUGCUUCCUAAUUCCUGAGAUCCCUCUGCUUCCUGCUCUUGACUGGGCACCCCCAAACCAUGCAUGCUGGGCUCCUGUGAUGUAAACCCCCAAAUACAGCUGCUUAAAUAAACGGAAGUAGAUGUCUC